GACGAACGCUGGCGGCGUGCUUAACACAUGCAAGUCGAACGGAAAGGCCCUGCUUGCAGGGUACUCGAGUGGCGAACGGGUGAGUAACACGUGGGUGAUCUGCCCUGCACUUCGGGAUAAGCCUGGGAAACUGGGUCUAAUACCGGAUAGGAGCCAUUUUUAGUGUGAUGGUUGGAAAGUUUUUUUCGGUGUAGGAUGAGCUCGCGGCCUAUCAGCUUGUUGGUGGGGUAAUGGCCUACCAAGGCGGCGACGGGUAGCCGGCCUGAGAGGGUGGACGGCCACAUUGGGACUGAGAUACGGCCCAGACUCCUACGGGAGGCAGCAGGGGGGAAGAUUGCACAAUGGGCGCAAGCCUGAUGCAGCGACGCCGCGUGGGGGAUGACGGCCUUCGGGUUGUAAACUCCUUUCGCUAGGGACGAAGCUUUUUGUGACGGUACCUAGAUAAGAAGCACCGGCUAACUACGUG
rnacentral:rRNA from 1 species